UUCUCCCUUUGCAGCUCCUGUUGUGGUAACAGGAUGGAUUAUUGCUGUGCGUGCUGUGUGACACGCUGAGUCCUGCUCAAGGAAGCUGCCAGGCACCAUCACAAUGCCACAAACUCAAUCAAGGCAGGACUUUGAGUCGAUCAGCCACGAAAACUGAGCUCUAAGGUGUGGCUGUGUGUACUAAAGGAAACAGGUAUUUUGGAAACAAAACCAAUACAGGUGAUAGAACAUACUACAACACUGCAUGACACUGAGGACACACUUACAGAAGACUGUGACCAGCCAUUGAUGAAGGAUGGGCAUCAUACCCAACUGGCCAGCAAUGCUGUGCUACCCAAACAGUUUUCCAAAGUGACUCUCAUUGGCAUUCAGAAUCACCAUGGGACUAGGGAAUGCUGGAAGAUGCAGACAAAAAAAGAGAGAUUCUGCGAGAGAAACAACCAGGCUUUGAGAAUAACCCACUUUUUGAACCCAGACAAAGGUUUUUUUGAAACUUGCACAGAGACCUCAUUCAGCCACCAGUUUUUCUAAGAGUUGGAAUAAACUUACUCCUACCCCUCAGAACCGGCAGCCUUCAGAAAGGACGGAAGCACACACAAAGGCAGCCCGUAUGCCACACCACAAACAUUACCCUGGGCUAAGAAAGAGGUCAAGUCCAUGGAGAUUUGCCACUGGAGGCCAAUUUUAACUCCAUUCCUGACUGCAUUUUGGAGCUGCUCUCCCACAUCACCUGUCAGCACAGCCACUUUCCUGCUGGGACGUGCAAGGGAAGGUGGCACCUUUGUUCCACCAGCUGCUGCAGCAGGGACACGUUUCCCCGAGUUCUCCUGCUCUACCCCAGAGUUCCUGUGAACAUUCAGCCCAGGGUGCUCCUCUGCAGACCCUUGUAAGCCCUCAGGAGGAAGAGGAUCCAAAUUCCAUCACUCCCAGGGUAUUUUACCUCCUUUCUCAUGGGGAUCAGCAAGAUGCCAUUUAUGUGGCGUCAUGUGCUUCAGACCUUGUAAGAGAUGAGCCUGCUGUUUGCAAGGGUUGGUGCUUAAAGAGUGGAGGAACCAGUCACAGGACUCAAAAAUACUCACUCCUCUUCAUUUUCAGGGCUAAGGUACAGAGGAGCCCUUUCCCCAGCAUCCAGCUCCUCUCCAAACUCAUCCCCAAGAGCAGGCCUGGAGCUCACCUGGUCCUUCUCAGGCUUGUCCGAGAUGUCGUUGAGGCUGGUGGAAGUCAGGUUUCGGUGAGCCAUGGCCGGGCUGCCUGCAGGAACAACGUCAACACCAGUUAAAGCACCUGCUUGGAUCCACUCAGAACGCAGAGGCUCAGGCUACAGCAACACCUUUCCCUGGGAGGCUGAUGUGGGGGAUUCCAGACCCUGACAAGCUGCUUUCUGUCACUUCAUGUGGCACUAAUGCUUCGUCACCACUGACCCACAGCAAUCCAUUGACUCCCAGGACAGUAAAAGAGUCCAAGGACAUUCCAUAAUGCCUGCCUGUGGGAGCAAAGCAACGCAGCACCACACUGCUGGCCAGCUCACCCAGGACCCACCACAAACUCAUCUCUCCACAGAGUUGGGACCUUCCAGGAUG